GGGGCCGUAGCUCAGUUGGGAGAGCGCCAGCGUGGCACGCUGGAGGCCACGGGUUCGAGCCCCGUCGGCUCCA
rnacentral:tRNA from 1 species